CCUACGGGUGGCAGCAGUGAGGAAUAUUGGUCAAUGGACGAGAGUCUGAACCAGCCAAGUCGCGUGAAGGAUGACUGCCCUAUGGGUUGUAAACUUCUUUUAUAAAGGAAUAAAACGAGGCACGUGUGCCUUUUUGCAUGUACUUUAUGAAUAAGGAUCGGCUAACUCCGUGCCAGCAGCCGCGGUAAUACGGAGGAUCCGAGCGUUAACCGGAUUUAUUGGGUUUAAAGGGAGUGUAGUUGGGAUGGUAAGUCAGUUGUGAAAGUUUGGGGCUCAACCGUAGAAUUGCAUUUGAUACUGGCAGUCUUGAGUACAGUAGAGGUAGGCGGAAUUCGUGGUGUAGCGGUGAAAUGCGUAGAUAUCACGAAGAACCCCGAUUGCGAAGGCAGCUUACUGAACUGUGACUGACGUUGAUGCUCGAAAGUGUGGGUAGCAAACAGGAUUAGAUACCCGGGUAGUC
rnacentral:rRNA from 1 species